UCCCUGGUGGCUCAGAGGUUAAAGCGUCUGCCUCCAAUGCAGGAGACCCCGGUUCGAUCCCUGGGUUGGGAA
rnacentral:tRNA from 1 species